rnacentral:rRNA from 1 species
CCAGCAGCCGCGGUAAUUCCAGCUCCAAUAGCGUAUAUUAAAGUUGUUGCAGUUAAAAAGCUCGUAGUUGGAUUUCUGUUAAUAUUUUAUAUUAUUAGUUAUUAUUAUUAAUAUAAUAUUAACAUAAUUCAUAUUACUUUUUUUAAGUAUAUGAAAUUUUACUUUGAGAAAAUUAGAGUGCUUAAAGCAGGCWWUUGCCUUGAAUACUCCAGCAUGGAAUAAUAUUAAAGAUUUUUAUCUUUCUUAUUGGUUCUAAGAUAGAAAUAAUGAUUAAUAGGGACAGUUGGGGGCAUUUGUAUUUAACAGUCAGAGGUGAAAUUCUUAGAUUUGUUAAAGACAAACUAAUGCGAAAGCAUUUGCCAAGGAUGUUUUCAUUAAUCAAGAACGAAAGUUAGGGGAUCGAAGACGAUCAGAUACCGUCGUAGUCU